GCGUUCGUUGAAAGGAGAGACGGUUGGCAUCUCCCCUGACGAGGACGGCAACAGCCUUCGGGCUUUCCUGUAACACACACGGUUAAGGCUUCCCGCGGAUCUUACCCAAUUUUUUU